UUGCCUACGGGAGGCAGCAGUGGGGAAUAUUGCACAAUGGGGGGAACCCUGAUGCAGCGACGCCGCGUGAGUGAAGAAGUAUUUCGGUAUGUAAAGCUCUAUCAGCAGGGAAGAAGAUGACGGUACCUGACUAAGAAGCCCCGGCUAACUACGUGCCAGCAGCCGCGGUAAUACGUAGGGGGCAAGCGUUAUCCGGAUUUACUGGGUGUAAAGGGAGCGUAGACGGCAGGGCAAGUCUGGAGUGAAAGCCCGGGGCCCAAC
rnacentral:rRNA from 1 species